AACGGCCAUACCAUGCUGAAUAUACCGGUUCUCGUUAGAUCACGCGGCGCGCUCAGUACUUGGGUGGGUGACCACCUGGGAACACCGCGUGCCGUU